AAUACCGCAUAAGCGCAUAGCUUCGCAUGAAGCAGUGUGAAAAACAAAGCUAAAGCUUUUGGUGGUAUACGAUGGAUCCGCGUCUGAUUAGCUUGUUGGCGGGGUAAAGGCCCACCAAGGCAACGAUCAGUAGCCGGCCUGAGAGGGUGAACGGCCACAUUGGGACUGAGACACGGCCCAAACUCCUACGGGAGGCAGCAGUGGGGAAUAUUGCACAAUGGGGGAAACCCUGAUGCAGCGACGCCGCGUGAGUGAAGAAGUAUUUCGGUAUGUAAAGCUCUAUCAGCAGGGAAGAAAUAAAGUCCUUCGGACUUUGGACGGUACCUGACUAAGAAGCCCCGGCUAACUACGUGCCAGCAGCCGCGGUAAUACGUAGGGGGCAAGCGUUAUCCGGAUUUACUGGGUGUAAAGGGAGCGUAGACGGCAGCGCAAGUCUGGAGUGAAAUCCCAUGGCUUAACCAUGGAACUGCUUUGGAAACUGUGCAGCUGGAGUGCAGGAGAGGUAAGCGGAAUUCCUAGUGUAGCGGUGAAAUGCGUAGAUAUUAGGAGGAGCACCGGUGGCGAAGGCGGCUUACUGGACUGUAACUGACGUUGAGGCUCGAAAGCGUGGGGAGCAAACAGGAUUAGAUACCCUGGUAGUCCACGCUGUAAACGAUGAUUACUAGGUGUUGGGGGACCAAGGUCCUUCGGUGCCGGCGC
rnacentral:rRNA from 1 species